rnacentral:rRNA from 1 species
GCGGUGGAGCACGUGGUUUAAUUCGAUGCAAACCGAAGAACCUUACCUGGGUUUGACAUGCAGGUGGUAGCGAAGAGAGAUCUGAGCGACCUUGCAGUAAUGUAGGGAGCCUGCACAGGUGCUGCAUGGCUGUCGUCAGCUCGUGUCGCGAGAUGUUGGGUUAAGUCCCAUAACGAGCGCAACCCCUAUCAUUAGUUGCCAUCAGGUCAAGCUGGGGACUCUAAUGAAACUGCCUACGCAAGUAGUGAGGAAGGUGGGGAUGACGUCAAAUCAGCACGGCCCUUACGUCCAGGGCUACACACGUGCUACAAUGGCCGGUACAAAGGGCAGCUACCUGGUGACAGGAUGCUAAUCUCAAAAGCCGGUCUCAGUUCGGAUCGGAGUCUGCAACCCGACUCCGUGAAGUCGGAAUCGCUAGUAAUCGUGAAUCAGAAUGUCACGGUGAAUACGUUCCCGGGCCUU